CACAAAUCUAACCAGCAUGCAUUGCGCGCCGAUCGAUUCUGCUGGCACAUCGCGAACGAACCCAAUGAUGAUGAUUACAGACCUGAACUGAAUGACUUACUGCACUUCAGAUGAGCUCGAGACCUCCAGGAACCGCUCGCUGCAAAGGUGUGAGAAGAAUAUGGGGAACUCUAUACCAGGUGUUCAUGGCUGAUGAAAGAUGAUGAUGAUGAGGAAGAAUGAAGGACUGGUUGUUCUUCACUGUCGACUCCCUGGACUCUCCCUGAAUGGUUGGUGUUUUACCAUCGUCUGAGGAAGGACGUCACCUGGAAGCCAUCAUAGCCUUGGAUGAAAUUCACUGAGUCAUGAUAAUUCAUUGGCUGCUUUGACAUGAUGAUGAUUAUGGUGGUCUCGUUGAAGGUGCCUGGCUUUGGAAGAUGCUGCCAUCAUCAACCACGGUCUUUGUCCAGCCAUUAGGACGGAGCUGCCUGACGAGCAUCAAUCACUCUGAAUGCAAGAUGUCCACGUCAACGUCUACCUGGAACUGAGUAUGAAGACUUUGACUUGAGUGGUGCCGCCAAUUUACUCAUAACCUUUGGGAACUGCAGAGAUGCUCCAACCGCUGCAGAUGAGCUUGAGACCUCCGGGAACCCAUGACCUUUUGUUAAGUCUACGUCUGGCCUCUUGUCCUUCAGGUGUUCAUGGCUGAUCAAAGAUGAGGAGGAAGAAUGAAGAACUUUGGUUGUUCUGCACUGUAGACUCCCUAAACUCUUCAGAGAAUCUGUAGAGUGAACAAUGGUUGGUGUUUUACCAUCGUCUGAGGAAGGACGUCACCUGGAAGCCGUCAUAGCCUUGGAUGAAAUUCACUGAGUCAUGAUGAUUCAUUGGCUGCUUUGACAUGAUGAUGGUGGUCUUGUUGAAGGUGCCUGGCUUUGGAAGAUGCUGCCAUCAUCAACCACGGUCUUUGUCCAGGAUUGGUGCCGCUUGUCUUGUUUAUGAUCUCAUCAGAGUCCAGCUGGAUCUACUACUGCCAACUGCUUGGGGGCUUAUGUUUCCGGCCAGAACUUUGACUCCUUCAUAGGAGUCGGUCAUCUCGUGCUGCAGGAGAUGUGAUUUUGUUUGUGCGUUGGAAUUGGGGAAGAAAAUUCUAAUAAAAAAUUGCUUUAAAUAAAG